rnacentral:rRNA from 1 species
UAAAAUAGAGCUUUGCUCGUGAACCAAAUAUGGUGGGCUGGGUUGUCUUUGCGGAAACGCUUGGGCGACUUGUCUACGAAUUGUAAUCAUAAUAUGGGCGGCGGUGAAUCCUUUGCAGACGACUUGAAUGGGAACGGGGUACUGUAAGUGGUAGAGUAGCCUUGUUGCUACGAUCCACUGAGGUUAAGCCCUUGUUCUAAAGAUUUGU